CUGCCGCCGCCUCCCCAGUCCGGCGUGCAUCAGCAGCGACAUCAGAGUCGGCGAUGGGAGGCGUCACCGACGUUCUCGUCCCCUUAUGUUGAUGAAGUGGCGUGCCGUGGAGAUUCCUUUUUGACCGAUUUCUUGCCGGUUUUUUCCUUUUCUCCGUCGUGCAAGAUCAGUCCUUUCUUUUUUUCUCCGUCCACGGUUCGAUCAGGUUUUACCUUCUCUUCGUCGUGCAAGAUCAAUCCUUCAUUUUCUCCGUCGUGCAAGGGGGUCAGUUGA
rnacentral:misc_RNA from 1 species